CCCUUUUAACACCCUUUACAACUAUCAUCUACCAUUUCUAUAACAUAAAUUCUUUAGAAUGCUAGGUAGGGACGGGUAUUUAUCUUUUUCUUCUCGUGAAACUUGGGUCCUUGCGUAGAAGGGAAGGAGAUCUACACUUUUUCCUUCAGCUGGCAGCGCAACCGGAGCUUCCUUGCACCUCGAAUCCCCUCCCUCUUUCUUCUUCUUCUUCUUCUUUUUCUUCUUCUUCUCUUUUU
rnacentral:lncRNA from 1 species